GAAUAUUUAGCGCUGAAUCCGUCAUGGAGCGGGGGACCCACUUGUUGCAACGCUCGUUGCUAGGGGUGAAUCCGAAAGGACGGGCAUCUCUCCAAGCCCGAACCCGACAGCUAACCUCGCAAGCGCUUUGGGGAGGGACG
rnacentral:sRNA from 21 species